rnacentral:rRNA from 1 species
GGCGGCAUGCCUAACACAUGCAAGUCGAACGGUAACAGGCCCGCAAGGGUGCUGACGAGUGGCGGACGGGUGAGGAAUACAUCGGAAUUUGCCCAGUCGUGGGGGAUAACGUAGGGAAACUUACGCUAAUACCGCAUACGACCUAACGGUGAAAGCGGGGGAUCGCAAGACCUCGCGCGAGUGGAUGAGCCGAUGUCGGAUUAGCUAGUUGGCGGGGUAAAGGCCCACCAAGGCGACGAUCCGUAGCUGGUCUGAGAGGAUGAUCAGCCACACUGGGACUGAGACACGGCCCAGACUCCUACGGGAGGCAGCAGUGGGGAAUAUUGGACAAUGGGGGCAACCCUGAUCCAGCAAUGCCGCGUGUGUGAAGAAGGCCUUCGGGUUGUAAAGCACUUUUAUCCGGAACGAAACGCGCAGGGUGAAUAUCCUUGCGAACUGACGGUACCGGAGGAAUAAGCACCGGCUAACUUCGUGCCAGCAGCCGCGGUAAUACGAAGGGUGCAAGCGUUACUCGGAAUUACUGGGCGUAAAGGGUGCGUAGGUGGUUGUUUAA